rnacentral:tRNA from 1 species
GGCGGCCUGGGCCGCGGCGGCCGCCGCCUCGGAGGCGUCACGGUGCCGGUUCAGGGCCUGGCCGGCCGCCA